AUCCUUAUUGGAGAGUUUGAUCCUGGCUCAGGACGAACGCUGGCGGCGUGCCUAAUACAUGCAAGUCGAGCGGACUUGAUGGAGUGCUUGCACUCCUGAUGGUUAGCGGCGGACGGGUGAGUAACACGUAGGCAACCUGCCCUCAAGACUGGGAUAACUACCGGAAACGGUAGCUAAUACCGGAUAAUUUAUUUCACAGCAUUGUGGAAUAAUGAAAGACGGAGCAAUCUGUCACUUGGGGAUGGGCCUGCGGCGCAUUAGCUAGUUGGUGGGGUAAUGGCUCACCAAGGCGACGAUGCGUAGCCGACCUGAGAGGGUGAACGGCCACACUGGGACUGAGACACGGCCCAGACUCCUACGGGAGGCAGCAGUAGGGAAUCUUCCGCAAUGGGCGAAAGCCUGACGGAGCAACGCCGCGUGAGUGAUGAAGGUUUUCGGAUCGUAAAGCUCUGUUGCCAAGGAAGAACGUCUUCUAGAGUAACUGCUAGGAGAGUGACGGUACUUGAGAAGAAAGCCCCGGCUAACUACGUGCCAGCAGCCGCGGUAAUACGUAGGGGGCAAGCGUUGUCCGGAAUUAUUGGGCGUAAAGCGCGC
rnacentral:rRNA from 1 species